AUUGAACGCUGGCGGCAUGCUUUACACAUGCAAGUCGAACGGUAACAGGCCUUCGGGUGCUGACGAGUGGCGAACGGGUGAGUAAUGCAUCGGAACGUACCCAGAGGUGGGGGAUAACGCAGCGAAAGCUGUGCUAAUACCGCAUGUGAUCUGAGGAUGAAAGCGGGGGACCGAGCAGCAAUGUUUGGCCUCGCGCCUUUGGAGCGGCCGAUGUCGGAUUAGCUAGUUGGUGGGGUAAAGGCCUACCAAGUCGACGAUCCGUAGCUGGUCUGAGAGGACGACCGGCCACACUGGGACUGAGACACGGACCAGACUCCUACGGGAGGCAGCAGUGGGGAAUGUUGGACAGUGGGCGCAAGCCUGAUCCAGCAAUGCCGCGUGCGGGAAGAAGGCCUUCGGGUUGUAAACCGCUUUUGGCAGGAACGAAACGGUGUCCGCUAAUACCGGGCGCGAAUGACGGUACCUGCAGAAUAAGCACCGGCUAACUACGUG
rnacentral:rRNA from 1 species